UGAGGCAGGAGAAUUGCUUGAACCCAGGAAGCAGAGGUUGCAGUGAGCCGAGAUCACGCCACUAUACUCCAGCCUGGGUGACAGAGCGAGACUCCAUCUCA
rnacentral:miRNA from 1 species